ensembl:lncRNA
CGGUGCGGGUGUCCGGACACCGCGGGAAUUUGACGCGCUUCCCCGUAGGGCUCGGCGCCGUCGGGGCCGGUUGCGCUGGCGGCCGCGGGCCGAGGUGGCAGCGAUGAGCGGCCGCCGCUGUCGGAGGGGAUGCUGCCGGUACGAGCGGGACAGUCGGCCCCGGGCAACGUUGCCCAGGGAGCCCCACGCUUCUUUGAGGAAAUCAAGCUGUCGAAACAAAUUAGGCUGGAAAAAACCACCCGGUGACAGAUCUGCGUGGGGAGAGGCAGCACGGAGCAAUCUGGUCAGGAUCACUUGGGAUGGCACAGUGGAUGAGGGACACCAGAUACCAAGUUUUUCAUUGAGUCUCCUGCAGCCCCUAUUGGGGUACCUCUUGGUAAGUUGGUUUUUGGGCAGGUCUUGUAUAUACUCUCCAGGAUACAGGUAUUGCUACAGGGGGACAGUCUUACCUCAGCACUUUCAGCAUCAUUUUUCCUUGGUUUGGAUUUCAUGAAGUAUCGGAAAGAGGCAGGACAGAAGUGUGUUCUGGGCCCUGGUUGCCAUCCUCUUGUUGUCAGGGCAUACAGUGUCUUGUUUGUAAGUCACCACCUGAUCUCAGCACAGACCUCCUGGGCAUGGCACAAGAAACUAUGUUCCGUCAAAACAAAUUCUCCACUUCAACUUUAGGCCUGCUACAAGAGUCCUAUGAAAUGCAAUUAAAGGAGCUCAGAAAAAUUCAGAUUGGAAGGCAUCUUCAGAGGUCACUGUUCUAAUAAUCUGCUCCAAGCAUGGCUGACCACAAAGCUAGAUCGGGUUAUCUCCAGCAAUGGAGAUCCCACCAUCUCUCUGGUCUGCACUGUGCUUGUGUGAUGAUUUCAUCUCUGUUUUCUCUAAAAUUCUCUUGGAUUGAAUCUAAUUCAGGAUGCUACCUGAUCAGUGCCAUCAUGCAGUGCAGAGACACUUCCCUCCACUGGUUUUCAAGAACCCCCCAGGCCCUGACCAGCCACCAAGUUCACAGCUGACAUGCCUUGCUGUUCACCAGGAUUGCAGCCCUCCUGUCCAGGGCAAGGGCCCCAUUCACUGCUGGGCUUCUCACAGCCAUGGGCAGAACACAUACUUUGCUCAGACUGUGCUCCAGGAGGUUCAUGGCACUCCAUUUCUGCAGCCUGUUGAGGCCCUUCUGAAGAGCUGUGCUCCCCUCCCACUGCUCCCCCAGUGUGGAACAAUCUCAGCACCCUACAUCCCCUCUUCUGUGUUGUUGCAAAAGAUGUUAGAAAUAUUUGCCUGGCAUUAACCCUUGAGAAAUGGCACAUGUAGCUGUCUGCCAGCUACUCUUACUGAUGGACCUCUGUCCUUGAACCUGACAGCCCACCCAGUUUUCCAGUCAUUUAACAGUUCACCUGCAAAGUCCAUGAUUUCAUCUAUUUAGCUUCAACAAUAAUGAUAUAAAAACCUCCAAAAUAACUUUUGCCAGAAGAUUUCCCUUCCUAAAACACUGUCAUGUGCAGACAGAAACUUUGUUUUUUGUCAGUUUGAUCCUUUGGUGCUGGCCCAGCCUAGGGAUCAACACACUGGUUUUGUGCCUGCCAUCUGAACACCCUAUUAUUGUAAUAAACUACACCCACUCAUCA